CGAGAGCACCGGGAUGGACGCACCGCUGGUUUCCCCGUUGUUCUGCCAAGGGCAUCGCUGGGUCGCUUUGUGCGGACGGGAUAAGUGCUGAAAGCAUCUAAGCAUGAAGCCCCCCUCAAGAUGAGAUUUCCCAUUCCGCAAGGAAGUAAGAUCCCUGAAAGAUGAUCAGGUUGAUAGGUCUGAGGUGGAAGUGUGGCGACACAUGGAGCUGACAGAUACUAAUCGAUCGAGGACUUAACCAU
rnacentral:rRNA from 1 species